UACGGGGGGGGCAAGCGUUGUUCGGAAUUACUGGGCGUAAAGGGCUCGUAGGUGGCCAACUAGGUCAGACGUGAAAUCCCUCAGCUUAACUGGGGAACUGCGUCUGAUACUGGAUGGCUUGAGUUUGGGAGAGGGAUGCGGAAUUCCAGGUGUAGCGGUGAAAUGCGUAGAUAUCUGGAGGAACACCGGUGGCGAAGGCGGCAUCCUGGACCAACACUGACACUGAGGAGCGAAAGCCAGGGGAGCAAACGGG
rnacentral:rRNA from 1 species